rnacentral:rRNA from 1 species
UACCUAAUGGACUUGUCCUCUAGGUGCCGCUCACUCUACUUCCUCUGGCAAUUAAAAAGUCACUGCUCGCUUGAGACGCCUCCCUAGUCCUAACCGAAAGGAAACCUCUCGAGCGGACAGUGGUCCCUACGAUCUACCUCUCUCUAGACCUUGAGUAGACGCCUGUUGGGGUGUUCCUUCGUCUAGGGGGGUGUUAAAUCUUUCUACAAGUGCUCACGCAGUAGACCAGUCCUGUUGUCCCUGCCAGCCAGAAACUUGCUGUAGCCGUUCCUAAUACCCUCCGUCAACUCAUAGCUCUCGACCUUCUUUUUUUAUGAUGUUUUGUUCUUCUUCUAGUUCCUACGUCUACAACAGUUUGUGCGUGUACGGUACGUCCGAGCUUAUUAACCUCAGGUCUCACUCUAUGUUCAAGAACCGUUUGCGGGGUUGGUCCUCGUACCACACGUUGUCUGUGGACGGUUCUCCUCGUAAGAUUCGUCGUCUCUGAGGUGAUUCGUCUAACACGAUCAUUGCUCCUUUUGAAGUUUGCGACUAACGGUAUUGAAGGUGUGCGUCCACAUGCUCCUUCCUUCGUUCCCAGGAAGGUUUCCUAGAGGCUACCGUAAGUUUUAGCAGUCGUUUUAGUGGUUACGUGUCUCCAACAGCGGUUCUAAACGACCUGUUCUCUCCGUACCCUUUUGUUUCCUAAACCGCCUCCCCUAUUGUCUACUCUCUUUCUUUAUAGUAUCAAGAGGUAGGUAAAGCUUCCUUUGUGUUGUAAGUGUCGUCGUACAUCGCAUGUCGCGGUCGUGCCUAACGUACCAUCUUCGUCGUGUCAGGGAACCAACGUGCUCACGGCCUCUUUGUCCCUCGUCGUAACGUGUUACGUUGUAACCUCUCCGUCUGAGUAAAUACCUAAACCGGCACGGUACGUCUUUGCUGCGACGACGUAUACGAUCUUUCCAACCGAAACGACGGUUCGCUAGUUGCUCGUCUUCUAGCUGUAUACUAGUCGUCGAACUGUUCGUCCACAAAGUCACGUUGUUCCUUCCCGUCUUAUUUUGUUGACUCUCUGUACAAUUCCUCUCUUCCUCGUUGACGAACUAGGCCUGUUCGACGGGUCAGGUUUAUUGUCGGUUCUCCCUAUGUAUAUCCUCCUUUACCAUGGACUUCUUGCAAGCAGAUCUCGUGUUGGUGGUCGAACUGGGUAGACUAACCUACGGCUUCAAGUACUCUACGAUAUUCUUCUACUGUGGAGUCCUCUUUAAGAAAUAUGUUCACGACGUCUUCCGCUCCAAUCUUAGUUCCUUCCAAUACGUCUAAAAAUGACGGUACCCCUUUGGCUUCGCUCUUUAAUACAAGCUGUGCUAACUGUAUUCGUUGUAACGUACAGCCCUGUCCCGACGUCUCGCGCCGUGACUAUAGCGUCUGUGGUACUUUUACAAACGACUAUACGUCUCCGCCUCCGGCCCUAAGGUGGUACACCUUCUCUGUCUCUUGUUACAUCACGCGUUGGACAAGACCUAUCUAAGGAACAAAUUCUACUUAAUACUAGAUAUACCUCUAAAGCACAGAAAACUGUGGUAUAAGAGAUGCUUAUAUAUACCGAACGGUAAACGUGGUUAAUAUCCACAGCUGUUGGUGCCCAGCUGGCAGGACAAACCUCAUCCGGAAAACUUCCUACUCUUUUAUCCCAGUAAGUUCACCGAGGAUUCGUACAAACAGCUCCGUUACCCACAAUUUCUCGGCUUUAUGUAUUAUUGUUUGGUCCUGGUCCGCUACUUCUGACGUUAUUUCCUUCGAGAAGGCUCCUGCUUCGUGCCCAAGACGACCACCGUAUAAUCCUUCUUGGACUUCCUUUUAUUGCGUCGUCACAAACGCGUCGUGGGUCCCUAACUCUCGUGCUUAAGCUACACCUUCUUAAUGCAGCUGGUGUUCCUGUGAUAUUUUUCGCCUCUCCGCCGCCGGCCGGGGAUGGGGGCAGCGGUACCGCACCGGUUGCGCAGCGGGCAGGGGAGGCGACACGGCUGGGCCACGCCGCAGCGGGGCCGCGCCGGCCGGGCAGCGGAGGCGACGCGGCCGGACAGCGCCGGAGGAUAGUGGUGGAGGGGCAGCUUCGCAGGCAGGUGCGGGUAACGGGCGGCUGGGGCGUGAGGGUGGCCUGCCGGGCUCGAGAAGAGGGAAAGGAGCUCGACCGGUACCUCCAGCAACUGGGAUGGUGGCUAGCUCAAGGACGGCAGCGCGCGCGCUGGGACACCUAGGCCAGCUGUAGCUCGUCGGUGGCGGUCUAGACUACGCGCACUGGGGCGGCCUGGAGGGACGGAGCGGGGAGGCACGCGCGGUGGCCGGGACGGAGCGGGUCGGUGCAGCGGCCGGGACGGAACGGCUCCUCUUCUGCUUCUAAGUUAAAGAAAAAAUGUUUAAAUACAUUCCUUUAAGGUCGACCUCGAUGCCUAGACCUCAAUGAAGUUCACGAGACUGGACGUUUCCCCUCCGUUAUAAAAAAAUUUUUCUAAUGACUCGGACCUCUUUUUCACACCUUUGGUAUAGGCCCGCUCCUUAAACUGUCCACUACCUGGUUUGUCCGUACUAGCUAGUUGAAGGUUUUAGGAAACAGUAGGGGUCUACCUGGUCCUUAGAUAGUCUCUCAGACUUUCAAGACAGAUGUUCAGUUCUUUUCUCUUCCGUAUGGCACACGACGCACUCACAUGCCAUCUAUACUUUUAUUUUCAGUACCGCCGUGAACGGCUCCUUGGUCUGUGUCCUUAAGAACGGCUUUGAGAGUUCUUGGGAGGGUACUCACCGAGUUUCCCUCUUCUCCCGUUCCAGUUACUUUACCGGCUGUUGUGGCUGUUGUGGCAGCCCCUGUAGUUUGCCGAGUCCUGUUACGUGAGGUUCGGGUCCUCCUUCUGCAGUCUGCGGUCGUUGAGGUUGCUGGGGUGACUGUCGUCCCUCGUAAAUGGUUUCAGAACGUAGAUGCGGUCUUAGUUUGUAGUGUGUUCGGUCCGUGUGUCUUACGCUUGUCCCUUCGGGCCCUGUUCCGUGCCUUAGACGCGUCAGGUAAAAGUCUUUCCUUUCCAACAUGGCCUCUUGUGAUACGUCUUCCCACCCCAACGUGUUCCCAGCUCUUCCUUCUUACCUAGCGACUUGUAAGUUUUUGUUCCGGAGUGCACCUCGCUACUUUAUCGUUCCUUAACCACCCCUCCCGCCCGCCAACAGCUAACAAAUAAAAGAACACGACACCAAUAUUCUUGCCGAAGACGCAGCCAAAGACUUGCACCUACAAACGGACCGUCAUCCAAGUGCCGCAAACGACACUCUCUUAGUGCAGAAAUGAACGAUGAUUUCGUGCACCUUAGUGCCGGCACGGAUUGUCACGCAGUGUUACGGUUUCCGUCCUGGCACACAGACCAUGCACUGUUACGGUUCGGCAUAGCACACAGACGCAGGAGGUGCCAGGGCUGGUGGGACGAGGCAGCACGGCGGCGAUGGAUGACGAGCUGCGGCGGGUCUGGCGCACGUGCGGCGGCGAGCGGGCGUGGUGGGGAGCCGCAGCAGGACUACGACGGAGCUGAGCAGAAGGGGAAGACAACGCAACGAGGGGCCCUGCGGGGGAGCGCGCUUGGGGGGCAGGAGGCGACGACGACAUUAGGUAAAGAGGUCUAGGUGGAGUCACUCGUGACCAGCACCCGCUGCGGUGGGGUCGUUGCCUCCACCUCUACCUUUCGCGACGAGCAUCGUAGUUCUCCAGCUCUCACCGCGGUGGCCGCUGCGGCGAAAGACCACACGUCCGGGAGGUGGCAACUACGGACCGAGGCUAGGACCUUCAACUUGUUAUAGGUCCAAGAACUCAAGAUGAUGGAGAAGGGUCUUAAAGACUGCGUUCUCUCAGUCCUGAACCUCCAUUGGCAACAGAGACGCAGACUUGGCAUAGGUACAGCAGAGUGCACAGAACUCCCAAACUUCCGUCAGUCAGAUUGUUGUUACGCAGUUAGACAGUUCUGGAACGAAUAGAUGUACAUAAUAUUCCACCUGUGGUAGCAACUUAACGACGUUACGAAAGGUUUUGACCUCUUGAACAAACAGCUCCACUACUAGAAGUCUUUAAACGUAAGACAUCAUGAGCAAGGAAAAACU